GCACAGCGUCGGUUGCCCGGGCGAUGCGCGGCACGCGUGCGGAGGCCCACACACCCUGAAGGCGGAGCCCCGGGUCGAGUGGCUGGCUCCCGGACCACCCAGCAGUCUGGAAGGAGCAGCAGUGUCACAAACCACCUCCAGCCCGAGGACCCCCUGCUUUAUCAAGAUUGAGUUCGUCCAUCUUGAGCAUCUGUCUAUAGAGUCCCAGUUCUCUUCAAGAGACUCUCUGAGACCAGACUCCCGACCGACUGGCUCCUCCCACCUCCACACCUCCAGCCUGGUAUCAAGGCUGCUUUACAAUCAUCCUAUUCAGAGACACACAAUAAACAUUUGUAUGGUAAAGGAAACUG
rnacentral:lncRNA from 1 species